rnacentral:rRNA from 1 species
AGAGUUUGAUCCUGGCUCAGAGCGAACGUUAGCGGCGGGCUUAACACAUGCAAGUCGAGCGAGAAAGGGGGGCAACCCCUGAGUACAGCGGCGGACGGGUGAGUAACACGUAGGUAAUCUGCCUUUCAGUGGGGGACAACGGUCCGAAAGGACCGCUAAUACCGCAUACGCUUCCCGGGUCUCCGGUCCUGGGAAAGAAAGCUGGGCAACUGGCGCUGAAAGAGGAGCCUGCGUCGCAUCAGCUAGUUGGUGGGGUAACGGCCUACCAAGGCGAAGACGCGUAGCUGGUCUGAGAGGAUGAUCAGCCACACUGGGACUGAGACACGGCCCAGACUCCUACGGGAGGCAGCAGUGGGGAAUAUUGGACAAUGGGGGAAACCCUGAUCCAGCCACGCCGCGUGAGUGAUGAAGGCCUUCGGGUCGUAAAGCUCUGUGGGGAGGGACGAACGUCCGGGUGUAGAGCCCGGGGUGACGGUACCUCCUUAGCAAGCACCGGCUAACUUCGUGCCAGCAGCCGCGGUAAU